GGAGUCAUGGCUCAGCUGGUUUUGUGCGCGUUUGGGGAAAUGAGAGACCCGGGUUCGAGUCCCGUGGUCUUCA
rnacentral:tRNA from 1 species